rnacentral:rRNA from 1 species
AUUAGUUAGUUGGCAGGGUAAAGGCCUACCAAGACUAUGAUGUGUAGCUGGACUGAGAGGUUGAACAGCCACAUUGGGACUGAGACACGGCCCAAACUCCUACGGGAGGCAGCAGUAGGGAAUUUUCGGCAAUGGAGGAAACUCUGACCGAGCAACGCCGCGUGAACGAUGAAGUACCUCGGUAUGUAAAGUUCUUUUAUUAAGGAAGAAAAAAGAGUGGAAAAACUCCCUUGACGGUACUUAAUGAAUAAGCCCCGGCUAAUUAUGUGCCAGCAGCCGCGGUAAUACAUAAGGGGCGAGCGUUAUCCGGAAUUAUUGGGCGUAAAGGGUGCGUAGGCGGUUUAAUAAGUCUAUAGUUUAAUUUCAGUGCUUAACGCUGUUGUGCUAUAGAAACUGUUUUACUAGAGUGAGUUAGAGGCAAGCGGAAUUCCAUGUGUAGCGGUAAAAUGCGUAAAUAUAUGGAGGAACACCAGAGGCGUAGGCGGCUUGCUGGGACUUUACUGACGCUGAGGCACGAAAGCGUGGGGAGCAAACAGGAUUAGAUACCCUGGUAGUCCACGCCGUAAACGAUGAGUACUAAGUGUCGGGUAAAACCGGUACUGAAGUUAACACAUUAAGUACUCCGCCUGAGUAGUACGUACGCAAGUAUGAAACUUAAAGGAAUUGACGGGACUCCGCACAAGCGGUGGAUCAUGUUGUUUAAUUCGAAGAUACACGAAAAACCUUACCAGGUCUUGACAUUUUCUUGCGAAGUUAUAGAAAUAUAAUGGAGGUUAUCAGGAAAACAGGUGGUGCAUGGUUGUCGUCAGCUCGUGUCGUGAGAUGUUAGGUUAAGUCCUAAAACGAGCGCAACCCUUGUCGUUAAUUGCCAGCAUGUAAUGAUGGGGACUUUAACGAGACUGCCAAUGAAAACUUGGAGGAAGGUGGGGAUUACGUCGAAAUCAUCAUGCCCCUUAUGAUCUGGGCUACAAACGUGAUACAAUGGUUGAUACAAAGAGUAGCUGAAACGCGAGUUCCAAC